UUUAUACUCCCUUCGUUCGAAAAUACUUGUCAUCAAAAUGAAUAAAAAAGGAUGUAUCUAAAACUAAAAUACGUCUAGAUACAUCAUACGUCCCCUUUUAUCUAUUUUGGUCACAAAUAUUUCCGGACGGAGGGAGUAUUUC
rfam:Triticum aestivum genome assembly, contig: Triticum_aestivum_CS42_TGACv1_scaffold_471258_6AL